UACGAGGGGGGCAAGCGUUGUUCGGAAUUAUUGGGCGUAAAGGGCGCGUAGGCGGCUUUGCAAGUCUUGUGUGAAAUCCCUGGGCUCAACCCAGGGGCUGCACAAGAAACUGCAGGGCUUGAGUAUGGGAGAGGUGAGUGGAAUUUCCGGUGUAGCGGUGAAAUGCGUAGAUAUCGGAAGGAACACCUGUGGCGAAAGCGGCUCACUGGACCAUAACUGACGCUGAGGCGCGAAAGCUAGGGGAGCAAACAGG
rnacentral:rRNA from 1 species